rnacentral:rRNA from 1 species
AGAGUUUGAUCCUGGCUCAGGAUGAACGCUGGCGGCGUGCGUAACACAUGCAAGUUGAACGACGGUGCCAUGAAGUGGUAACACGGAGUGGUAUACGGAGUAGCGGACGGGUGAGUAAAGCAUGAGAAUCUGUCCUGUCGAGGGGGAUAACGUUCGGAAACGGACCCUAAUACCCCAUAGUCCGAGAGGUUAAAGGCAGAGAUGUGCCGUAGGAGGUGCUCGUGUCCUAUCAGCUAGUUGGUGAGGUAAGGGCUCACCAAGGCAACGACGGGUAGCCGGCCUGAGAGGGUGACCGGCCACACUGGAACUGAGAUACGGUCCAGACUCCUACGGGAGGCAGCAGUGGGGAAUAUUGGGCAAUGGGAGGAAUCCUGACCCAGCGACGCCGCGUGAACGAAGACGGCCUUCGGGUUGUAAAGUUCUUUUAUGUGGGAAGAAGGAAGUGACGGUACCACAUGAAUAAGCCCCGGCUAACUACGUGCCAGCAGCCGCGGUAAUACGUAGGGGGCGAGCGUUGUCCGGAAUUACUGGGCGUAAAGGGCACGCAGGCUGUGCUUCAAGUCAGCUGUAAAAGGAUGCGGCUUAACCGUGUUAUGCAGUUGAGACUGAGGUGCUGGAGUACCGGAGAGGCAAGUGGAAUUCCCAGUGUAGCGGUGAAAUGCGUAGAUAUUGGGAAGAACAUCGGUGGCGAAGGCGACUUGCUGGACGGUAACUGACGCUGAGGUGCGAAAGCCAGGGUAGCGAACGGGAUUAGAUACCCCGGUAGUCCUGGCCGUAAACGAUGAAUGCUAGGUGUAGGAGGUAUCGACCCCUCCUGUGCCGGAGUUAACGCAAUAAGCAUUCCGCCUGGGGAGUACGGUCGCAAGACUGAAACUCAAAGGAAUUGACGGGGGCCCGCACAAGCGGUGGAGUAUGUGGUUUAA